rnacentral:misc_RNA from 1 species
GGCCACCGAGCGACAGUAGCGACUCUUCCAUAGAUGUUUCAUCACCAGAGUCUCUUGUUCGCCUCAUCCUUAAGAGAUACCCAGAUGUUGCUAGUGAUCUGAGUCAGCUUCUCCAAAUGGUCGACAGUGGUCAGGGUGUUGACAUCAGUGGGAUCCCUGACAUCGGCUUAGUGAAACUCAUGAAGAAGCUUUUCAGGUUGUUAAAGCUUAAAAGAAAUGAAAAUGGAGUUUUCGUGCUAUCAUCAAAAUGUCUUCCUACUUCAGAAGUCAUUGGUUCAACACUAUCCUCCCAUCCAGAAUCAAGAAAGAAUGCAUUUAC